GUCUGCAGUCUAGAAAGCAAUCUUAUUUUCUACUGAGUAAUGCCUGCCAUGUGAGAUUUCACCUGCUAUUGCUAUUUCUACAAAAUUCAUCACGAAAAUUCUGUGUGGACUCGGGUCUCCAGCCACCAAUCUGAAGUGUCCUGGUCACGCUCCGAACAGACUGUGGGAUGGAAGGCGGCUCAGCGCCCGGUGGACGUCCAACAUAAAGACUGGGGAAUUAUAGUUUUCA
rnacentral:lncRNA from 1 species